UCAGCUUAUUUGGACUACCGGGGUUCGAGAUGCCUAGCCCAUAAGAGUCUAAUUGAACCUGACAGGGAUGCUGUUGCCCUCAUCUUAAGCCUGUGGAUUGAUAGUUCAUUUUAGGGAAAGCAGGAUUUAUCCCAAAACCCUGAUGGGGUCAGUCAUAAUCUUCCAGUGUAGGGUACUGUGUUGAUUUGUACUUGUCUGUCCUUCCAUUUCUAUAAUGUCGUGCAAAAGGACACUACCACUGCAAGAAGAUGGAUCCACAGCAUCCUGAAGAUGGAAUCCAGGCAAUCAGUGAGAAGUGCUGGAAAAUAAUUGCACUGCAUAUGGAUUCAGAACUAUUUAACGCUGGCUUGACUUCCUUCUGCUGUUUCAGUGUUCAAGUGACCUUGAAGAUUCAACUAUCUACAUCUUAACAAUAAAUGAGCCUCAUAUGUCUAUAUUAUUCUUUUUUUAUUUGAACCCAAGUUCCCCUUUGGUCUUUUAUAAAACUUAAAUGUGCAUGUUAUAUUACUGUUAUUAGUAGAUAUGAUAUUAAUGUGAAAUUAUUGUUGUAAUAAUUUAAAGAUUAUUCAAAUUUGUUCUGCUGUCUGAUGGACUACUUUUGUAAUAAAGGUUCAAAGUUUUCACUGAUUUAGUUUAUUCAGAUUCCAACUGAUUAAUUCAGAAUGUUGGGCACAUUGGUAUCAAGCAAAUUAAAUGAAUAUACAGCACACAACAGUUUUAAUAAGUGAGAAAAUGUAUCAUCUGUUCUUCAUAAAACAAUGAAUGUGUUGGCUUUCUGUAUGGAUAAACAAAUUAUACACAGAUUUAUUCAGGGAAGUGUCAUUAGGAAUGGGAGCAAAACAGAUUUGAUACAAUUAAUUUUAACAAACAUGGAACUGUAAAGAAAGAAAAGGAAAACAAAGGAGCCACCUAUUCCAUGAUAUUGUGUUGACUGGGUGCAACAAGGCUGAUCUCCUAUUUAUAAUGGGAUUACUAGCCUACCAUGUGGCUUUAAUUAAGAGAGAGGCCUGAAUGACUCUUUAUUAUGGGAUGAAUAGCCUACCAUGUGUAAUCUGGUUAAGAGAGAGGCCUGAGUGAAUUGUGUUACCUUUAAAAUAUUGUACACUCAACGUUCUGUCAUUAGUAAGUUCCUAGAGUAUGAUAUGUAGAGAAGACUGCAUUUCCACCAUUUGUCCAGGAGGGCGGUGCGCAUUGUCAUUAACACGCACAUCAAAGUUUCACCUCUCAGUUUGUAAAACAUCAAUAGCUUACUGUGAGGGUAUUUGAAGUCAUGAAGGGUACCUCCAAUAAAAUAUAUCAAUUCAUGGAACAUUGUACAUGCUCUGGCCUCCUUAGUGACAUUAGGUUACAAGGUCACAGACCUGUAAGUAAAACACUGUGUGUUUCCAGGGUGGACUGUGCCUGACAUUCUGGUUUGCUCCAAACUAGUGAUUGUAAACAGUGUGAAGAAAGCUGGACGGGAUAAUUUUCCUGUACAGUUUCUAUAUAGCAACUUAAAACACACAAGACAAAAAAGAAAAGCAAAUCAAGAAUGAACACAAAUAUUCAUGACAGUGAAAAAAUUAUUAUUAAGCAGCAUGUGGCAUCCAAUGAGUUGGAAAAACAAAGAGACAACUUAGAUUUAGAAUCAAUGAACAUAAAGUCCUAUCCACCAAGCCGAUCCUAAAUCAUCUGUUGCAAGACGCUUUUACAGAUUUGAUUUUGGAUUUGGAAUCU